GGUCAUAUCGCUUUGAAACACAGGUUUUCAUCCGAUCACCAAAGUUAAGCAACAUCGAAACUGGUACGUACCUAGAUGGUUAACUGCUUGGGAAUACCAGGUGCUGUAA